UGGAUGGCGGGUGCUAUACAUGCAGUCGAGCGGACAGAUGGGAGCUUGCUCCCUGAUGUUAGCGGCGGACGGGUGAGUAACACGUGGGUAACCUGCCUGUAAGACUGGGAUAACUCCGGGAAACCGGGGCUAAUACCGGAUGGUUGUUUGAACCGCAUGGUUCAAACAUAAAAGGUGGCUUCGGCUACCACUUACAGAUGGACCCGCGGCGCAUUAGCUAGUUGGUGAGGUAAUGGCUCACCAAGGCAACGAUGCGUAGCCGACCUGAGAGGGUGAUCGGCCACACUGGGACUGAGACACGGCCCAGACUCCUACGGGAGGCAGCAGUAGGGAAUCUUCCGCAAUGGACGAAAGUCUGACGGAGCAACGCCGCGUGAGUGAUGAAGGUUUUCGGAUCGUAAAGCUCUGUUGUUAGGGAAGAACAAGUACCGUUCGAAUAGGGCGGUACCUUGACGGUACCUAACCAGAAAGCCACGGCUAACUACGUGCCAGCAGCCGCGGUAAUACGUAGGUGGCAAGCGUUGUCCGGAAUUAUUGGGCGUAAAGGGCUCGCAGGCGGUUUCUUAAGUCUGAUGUGAAAGCCCCCGGCUCAACCGGGGAGGGUCAUUGGAAACUGGGGAACUUGAGUGCAGAAGAGGAGAGUGGAAUUCCACGUGUAGCGGUGAAAUGCGUAGAGAUGUGGAGGAACACCAGUGGCGAAGGCGACUCUCUGGUCUGUAACUGACGCUGAGGAGCGAAAGCGUGGGGAGCGAACAGGAUUAGAUACCCUGGUAGUCCACGCCGUAAACGAUGAGUGCUAAGUGUUAGGGGGUUUCCGCCCCUUAGUGCUGCAGCUAACGCAUUAAGCACUCCGCCUGGCGAGUACGGUCGCAAGACUGAACUCAAUGAAUUGACGGAGCCCGCACAAGCGGUGUAGCAUGUGGUUUAUUUCGAAUCACGCGGACAACCAUACCAUGUCCUUGACAUCCUCGACUAUUCUACAGAUAGGUACGUCGCGCUUCGCCGCCAAGUGACAAGU
rnacentral:rRNA from 2 species